rnacentral:rRNA from 1 species
AUUGAACGCUGGCGGCAUGCUUUACACAUGCAAGUCGAACGGUAACAGGCCGCAAGGUGCUGACGAGUGGCGAACGGGUGAGUAAUGCAUCGGAACGUGCCCAGUCGUGGGGGAUAACGCAGCGAAAGCUGCGCUAAUACCGCAUACGAUCUAUGGAUGAAAGCGGGGGACCGUAAGGCCUCGCGCGAUUGGAGCGGCCGAUGUCAGAUUAGGUAGUUGGUGGGGUAAAGGCUCACCAAGCCAACGAUCUGUAGCUGGUCUGAGAGGACGACCAGCCACACUGGGACUGAGACGCGGCCCAGACUCCUACGGGAGGCAGCAGUGGGGAAGUUUGGACAAUGGGCGCAAGCCUGAUCCAGCAAUGCCGCGUGCAGGAAGAAGGCCUUCGGGUUGUAAACUGCUUUUGUACGGAACGAAACGGUCCUGGUUAAUACCCGGGGCUAAUGACGGUACCGUAAGAAUAAGCACCGGCUAACUACGUGCCAGCAGCCGCCGUAACAC